UCGAGCGAGGCGGGGAGCAAUCCCCAGUCGAGCGGCGAACGGGUGAGUAACGCGUGGAUGACCUGCCCUUCAGCGGGGAAUAACCCGGGGAAACUCGGGCUAAUACCGCAUACGACCGCGAGGUGAAAGCGGGGUCGCAAGAUCUCGUACUGAAGGAGGGGUCCGCGUCCGAUUAGCUAGUUGGUAGGGUAAUGGCCUACCAAGGCGACGAUCGGUAGCCGGCCUGAGAGGGUGAUCGGCCACACUGGAACUGAGACACGGUCCAGACUCCUACGGGAGGCAGCAGUGGGGAAUUUUGCGCAAUGGGCGAAAGCCUGACGCAGCAACGCCGCGUGGAGGAUGAAGGUCUUUGGAUUGUAAACUCCUGUCAGCAGGGAAAAAGGGACUCGUGCUCAUACCACGGGAACUUGAUUGUACCUGCAGAGGAAGCCCCGGCUAACUCUGUGCCAGCAGCCGCGGUAAUACAGAGGGGGCAAGCGUUA
rnacentral:rRNA from 1 species